GACCGCGUAGCUCAGUUGGUUAGAGCAUCAGAUUGUGGUUCUGAGGGUCGUGGGUUCGAGACCCAUCGUGGUCC
rnacentral:tRNA from 1 species